GACGAACGCUGGCGGCAUGCCUAACACAUGCAAGUCGAACGAGACCUUCGGGUCUAGUGGCGCACGGGUGCGUAACGCGUGGGAACCUGCCCUUAGGUUCGGAAUAACUCCCCGAAAGGGGUGCUAAUACCGGAUAAUGUCUUCGGACCAAAGAUUUAUCGCCUUUGGAUGGGCCCGCGUUGGAUUAGCUAGUUGGUAGGGUAAAAGCCUACCAAGGCGACGAUCCAUAGCUGGUCUGAGAGGAUGAUCAGCCACACUGGGACUGAGACACGGCCCAGACUCCUACGGGAGGCAGCAGUGGAGAAUAUUGGACAAUGGGCGAAAGCCUGAUCCAGCAAUGCCGCGUGAGUGAUGAAGGCCUUAGGGUUGUAAAGCUCUUUUACCCGGGAUGAUAAUGACAGUACCGGGAGAAUAAGCUCCGGCUAACUCCGUG
rnacentral:rRNA from 1 species